rnacentral:lncRNA from 1 species
CACCGGGAAGCCCAGAAUGUCGCUGGACAGACUGAAUGCUCCUUCCUACACAUGUCUGCGACUUACAGACAUCGAUGCAGUAAAAUUGAACAAACACAGCUUAUCCUACAUUCUGAAGAUGGGGCACAUUUAUCAGGAAUAAGAAACAGACACGUGGACUAAAAAUAGGGAAAUGAUGUCAAGUAUUGGCAUGGGUUUCAUAUUUUCCAAGAAACAUGAGAAGAACGGGC